ACAGAGGGUGCGAGCGUUAAUCGGAAUUACUGGGCGUAAAGCGUGCGUAGACGGCUAUCUAAGUCGGGUGUGAAAGCCCCGGGCUCAACCUGGGAAUUGCAUUCGAGACUGAAUAGCUAGGGUACGGUAGAGGGAAGUGGAAUUUCCGGUGUAGCGGUGAAAUGCGUAGAUAUCUGGAGGAAUACCGGUGGCGAAGGCGGCAUCCUGGACCAUUACUGACGCUGAGGCGCGAAAGCUAGGGGAGCAAACGGGA
rnacentral:rRNA from 1 species